UACAGAGGGUGCGAGCGUUGUCCGGAAUCACUGGGCGUAAAGGGCGCGUAGGCGGCUCAUGAAGGCUGUGGUGAAAGUCCGGGGCUCAACCUCGGAUCGGCCGUGGCGACUCGUGGGCUGGAGCACUGUAGAGGCGGGUGGAAUUCCGGGUGUAGCGGUGGAAUGCGUAGAUAUGCGGAGGAACACCGAUGGCGAAGGCAAUCCCCUGGGCCUGCACUGACGCUCAUGCACGAAAGCGUGGGGAGCAAACAGG
rnacentral:rRNA from 1 species